rnacentral:rRNA from 1 species
UGCCACAGUCAUAUCACCCUGCAGCCCAACACACUGAAGCUAAGCAGGGCUGAUUCUUGUCAGUACCUGGAUGGGAGACCACAUAGGAAAACUAGGUUGCUGCUGGAA